rnacentral:rRNA from 1 species
AACCCGGAGAUAGCUGGUUCUCCUCGAAAGCUAUUUAGGUAGCGCCUCAUACGAAUCUUCUUGGGGGUAGAGCACUGUUAUGGCUAGGGGGUCAUGGCGACUUACCAAACCAUUGCAAACUCCGAAUACCAAGACAGAAUGUACGGGAGACACACGGCGGGUGCUAACGUCCGUCGUGGAGAGGGAAACAACCCUGACUUACAGCUAAGGCCCCUAAUUCGUGGCUAAGUGUGAAAGGAUGUGGGAAUCCCAAAACAACCAGGAGGUUGGCUUAGAAGCAGCCAUCCUUUAAAGAAAGCGUAACAGCUCACUGGUCUAAAUAAGGGUUCCUGCGGCGAAGAUGUAACGGGGCUCAAGACGUGCACCGAAGCUUAGGGUGUGGAUUUAUCCACGCGGUAGCGGAGCGUUCCGUAAGCGAGUGAAGCGGGAGGGUAACCGACCGUGGACGUAUCGGAAGUGCGAAUGCUGAC